GUGGGCAACCUGCCCUGCAGACUGGGAUAACUCCGGGAAACCGGAGCUAAUACCGGGUAAUACAUCGCACCGCAUGGUGCAAUGUUGAAAGUUGGCUUUCGAGCUAACACUGCAGGAUGGGCCCGCGGCGCAUUAGCUAGUUGGUAAGGUAAUGGCUUACCAAGGCGACGAUGCGUAGCCGACCUGAGAGGGUGAUCGGCCACACUGGGACUGAGACACGGCCCAGACUCCUACGGGAGGCAGCAGUAGGGAAUCUUCCGCAAUGGACGAAAGUCUGACGGAGCAACGCCGCGUGAGUGACGAAGGCCUUCGGGUCGUAAAGCUCUGUUGUUAGGGAAGAACAAGUACCGUUCGAAUAGGGCGGUACCUUGACGGUACCUAACCAGAAAGCCACGGCUAACUACGUGCCAGCAGCCGCGGUAAUACGUAGGUGGCAAGCGUUGUCCGGAAUUAUUGGGCGUAAAGCGCGCGCAGGCGGUCUUUUAAGUCUGAUGUGAAAGCCCACGGCUCAACCGUGGAGGGUCAUUGGAAACUGGAGGACUUGAGUGCAGAAGAGGAAAGUGGAAUUCCACGUGUAGCGGUGAAAUGCGUAGAUAUGUGGAGGAACACCAAUGGCGAAGGCGGCUCUCUGGUCUGUAACUGACCCUGA
rnacentral:rRNA from 2 species